rnacentral:ncRNA from 1 species
CAACCUCAACUCAUAUGGGACUACCCCCUGAAUUUAAGCAUAUUAAUUAGGGGAGGAAAAGAAACUAACAAGGAUUUUCUUAGUAGCGGCGAGCGAAAAGAAAACAGUUCAGCACUAAGUCACUUUGUCUAUAUGGCAAAUGUGAGAUGCAGUGUAUGGAGCGUCAAUAUUCUAGUAUGAGAAAUUAAUGAUUUAAGUCCUUCUUAAAUGAGGCCAUUUACCCAUAGAGGGUGCCAGGCCCGUAUAACGUUAAUGAUUACUAGAUGAUGUUUCCAAAGAGUCGUGUUGCUUGAUAGUGCAGCACUAAGUGGGUGGUAAACUCCAUCUAAAACUAAAUAUAACCAUGAGACCGAUAGUAAACAAGUACCGUGAGGGAAAGUUGAAAAGAACUCUGAAUAGAGAGUUAAACAGUACGUGAAACUGCUUAGAGGUUAAGCCCGAUGAACCUGAAUAUCCGUUAUGGAAAAUUCAUCAUUAAAAUUGUAAUAUUUAAAUAAUAUUAUUAAGAAUAAUGUGCAUUUUUUCCAUAUAAGGACAUUGUAAUCUAUUAGCAUAUCCCAAAUUUAUCAUAAAAUAUAACUUAUAGUUUAUUCCAAUUAAAUUGCUUGCAUUUUAACACAGAAUAAAUGUUAUUAAUUUGAUAAAGUGCUGAUAGAUUUAUAUUAUUACAGAGCGUUAAUUUUUCGGAAUUAUAUAAUGGCAUAAUUAUCAUUGAUUUUUGUGUUUAUUAUAUGCUCUUGUAUGAUUAACAAUGCGAAAGAUUCAGGAUACCUUCGGGACCCGUCUUGAAACACGGACCAAGGAGUCUAACAUAUGUGCAAGUUAUUGGGAUGUAAACCUAAUAGCGUAAUUAACUUGACUAAUAAUGGGAUUAGUUUUUUAGCUAUUUAUAGAAUCCACCACAGUGGCG